rnacentral:rRNA from 1 species
UACAGAGGUGGCAAGCGUUGUUCGGAAUUACUGGGCGUAAAGGGCGCGUAGGCGGUCAGGUCAGUCCCGUGUGAAAUCCCUCGGCUUAACCGAGGAACUGCCUCCCAAACUGCUUGGCUUGAGACCAGGAGAGGUGAGUGGAAUUCCCAGUGUAGCGGUGAAAUGCGUAGAUAUUGGGAGGAACACCAGUGGCGAAGGCGGCUCACUGGACUGGUACUGACGCUGAGGCGCGAAAGCGUGGGGAGCAAACGGG